rnacentral:rRNA from 1 species
AGAGUUUGAUCCUGGCUCAGGAUGAACGCUGGCGGUAUGCUUAACACAUGCAAGUCGCACGCCCCGGCAACGGGGAGUGGCGGACGGGUGAGGAACGCGUAGGAACAUGUCCAGAGGUGGGGGACAACCCUGGGAAACCGGGGCUAAUACCGCAUACGGCCCGAGGGCCAAAGCCGCGAGGCGCCUUUGGAGUGGCCUGCGUCCGAUUAGCUUGUUGGCGGGGUAACGGCCCACCAAGGCUCCGAUCGGUAGCUGGUCUGAGAGGAUGAUCAGCCACACUGGGACUGAGACACGGCCCAGACUCCUACGGGAGGCAGCAGUGGGGAAUAUUGGGCAAUGGGCGCAAGCCUGACCCAGCAAUUCCGCGUGGGUGAAGAAGGUCUUCGGAUUGUAAAGCCCUUUCGGCGGGGACGAUGGUGACGGUACCCGCAGAAGAAGCCCCGGCUAACUUCGUGCCAGCAGCCGCGGUAAUACGAAGGGGGCUAGCGUUGCUCGGAAUCAUUGGGCGUAAAGGGCGCGUAGGCGGCGCAGCUAGUCAGGCGUGAAACCCCCGGGCUCAACCCGGGGACUGCGUUUGAUACGGCUGUGCUAGAGGAUGGAAGAGGGCCGCGGAAUUCCCAGUGUAGAGGUGAAAUUCGUAGAUAUUGGGAAGAACACCGGUGGCGAAGGCGGCGGCCUGGUCCAUUACUGACGCUGAGGCGCGACAGCGUGGGGAGCAAACAGGAUUAGAUACCCCCGUAGUCC